GAGUGUUUUGUAUUUUUUAUUCAGAGAUAUAUUUUUUCUCGUUUAAUUUAUUUGUAUUUAAAU
rnacentral:tRNA from 1 species